CAGGAGAGCGCGGUACCAGCAACAUCGAACCACAGCCCUGAAGAUGGAACGUGCAAGUGUUCCGAAACGUUGGCGAACUAGUCAAGACAUCCAAGUGGGAGUAACCUCAAGUCAUGUUUUUUGUGUGUAAUAAGAACUGGCUAACCUUGGCUGGAGCCACUGGAGUGCACGGCGAAAUCGACCGGCCUAUCCUUGGGCAGUUCCAGUCGCGUUGGACGAAUGCACCGACGGUGGUUUUUCUUAUCCGAGCUGAUGCCGCCGUUUUCCACGACCAUCGGCCUCUGACUCCGUCGUUCUUUGCACACAAUUGUAUUUUAUUGUAUAUUUUAUUUUUAAAAGCAUUACACAAUUAUCAUUAUUAUUAAUAUGUAUGGGAGAUACCGCCACGAUAUACAGUGAAAACUCCGCUAAGAAAAUCAAACCCGUCUGUCCCCUUUAAAGAGGGCGGAAAGUUUACUGUAUUUGUUGCCUCUUAUCAGUUAACGGGGGAUUAUUAAUUUUCCUAUGAAUAUCCUUAUUUAAAAACACAGUAGUCACUAUUGGCUCUUGUUGAUAUUUACUUAUUGUGAUUUAUGAUGAUAUUUUAUUUGUUUUGUCAUGUAAACAAGAUGAUUUAAUUGAAGUCAUUUUUUUUUUGAAAACAUUUAUUAGUUGUUUUUAUAUCCAAAGUGAUCGCUCGAAAUGUUCAAAUAUUAUGUUCACAAUUAGAGAAACUAAUGAAAUACACACGUUACAGACAUUAAAUAAAUAUUUAAAAAUUGUAUACAAUCGUAAAAAAAAAUCUGUUGUCUCACAUGUUAGAUGUUAUCGUGGAACAUUUUUAUUGGCUAUAAAAUUAUUUAUAUAUAUUAUAUUGCUGGCUAGUAUUGAA